CCUACGGGAGGCAGCAGUCGAGAAUCAUUCACAAUGGGGGAAACCCUGAUGGUGCGACGCCGCGUGGGGGAAGGAAGUUCUUCGGUUUGUAAACCCCUGUCAUGUGGGAGCAAAUGAAGAUGAUAGUACCACAAGAGGAAGAGACCUCUAACUCUGUGCCAGCAGCCGUGGUAAUACAGAGGUCGCAAGCGUUGCUCGGAAGCACUGGGCGUAAAGCGGGCGUAGGCUGUUUCGUAAGUCGUGUGUGAAAGGCGCGGGCUCAACCCGCGGACGGCACAUGAUACUGCGAGACUAGAGUAAUGGAGGGGAAACCGGAAUUCUCGGUGUAGCAGUGAAAUGCGUAGAUAUCGAGAGGAACACUCGUGGCGAAGGCGAGUUCCUGGACAUUAACUGACGCUGAGGCACGAAGGCCAGGGGAGCGAAAGGGAUUAGAUACCCCUGUAGUC
rnacentral:rRNA from 1 species